AGACAAAGAACUCCCUUUUCCCAAGU
rnacentral:piRNA from 1 species